UGGGAACUAUAAGUGGGGAAGAAACCCAUA
rnacentral:piRNA from 2 species